rnacentral:lncRNA from 1 species
GCAACAUUAAGCAUUACAAGCACAAUAGCAUAAACUGUGUUUUCUUGAGCAUACAUACAACAAGUGCAUAUGAGCGCAACAAUAAUGCCUGGUGUUAUCUCUAGCAAUAUACAUAGAAGUGAUUGAUGCAUGCAUGAGCUAUUUAGGACAAACCAUCAUCCUCGAUGAUGAUCGCAAACCCAAUCUCCAUUAAGUACUUCAUCUCUUCAUCAUCGGGAAUCCCCUUCUUUAAGACGAUCUUUUCCUCUUUAUCGCUACCAUCAAGACGAUAUGUGUUGUAGAUGCAGUCGUCUUCCAGAUAAUCGACCCAAUAAGGUACCAAAGGGCUGCCCC